GAUGAACGCUGGCGGCGUGCCUAAUACAUGCAAGUCGAGCGAACAGACGAGGAGCUUGCUCCUCUGACGUUAGCGGCGGACGGGUGAGUAACACGUGGAUAACCUACCUAUAAGACUGGGAUAACUUCGGGAAACCGGAGCUAAUACCGGAUAAUAUAUUGAACCGCAUGGUUCAAUAGUGAAAGACGGUUUUGCUGUCACUUAUAGAUGGAUCCGCGCCGCAUUAGCUAGUUGGUAAGGUAACGGCUUACCAAGGCAACGAUGCGUAGCCGACCUGAGAGGGUGAUCGGCCACACUGGAACGGAGACACGGUCCAGACUCCUACGGGAGGCAGCAGUAGGGAAUCUUCCGCAAUGGUCGAAAGCCUGACGGAGCAACGCCGCGUGAGUGAUGAAGGUCUUCGGAUCGUAAAACUCUGUUAUUAGGGAAGAACAAAUGUGUAAGUAACUAUGCACGUCUUGACGGUACCUAAUCAGAAAGCCACGGCUAACUACGUG
rnacentral:rRNA from 1 species